rnacentral:rRNA from 1 species
UCAGACGAUGCGUCAUGCAUAUCAAUAAGCGGAGGAAAAGAAACUAACAAGGAUUCCCUUAGUAACGGCGAGUGAAGCGGGAAGAGCUCAAAUUUGAAAUCUUCGAGGUUUUACCUUGACGAAUUGUAGUUUAAAGAAGUGUUUUCUGUUGAAGUUUUGGUAUAAGUUCUUUGGAAUAGGACAUCAUAGAGGGUGAGAAUCCCGUAUUUGACCAUUAUUUUCAGCUGUGUGAUACACUUUCAAAGAGUCGGAUUGUUUGGGAAUGCAGUCCAAAAUGGGUGGUAAAUUUCAUCUAAAGCUAAAUAUUGGCGAGAGACCGAUAGCGAACAAGUACCGUGAGGGAAAGAUGAAAAGAACUUUGAAAAGAGAGUUAAACAGUACGUGAAAUUGUCAAAAGGGAAGCGUUUGACACCAGCGUUGUUUUCUCGAAAAUCAAUUAAAAAGAGUUGGAUUUUGUGUUGUAUUGACCUUAACAGCUUGCUUCACUCUUUUCCUGCUUUUUUAAUGCACUUUUCGUUUAACAAGUCAACAUCAGUUUCUUUUGUUGUAAAAGGGUCAUUGGAAGGUGGCUUUCUCUUCGGAGAAAGUGUUUAUAGCCUUUGCUCUCUGCAAUCGGAGAGAUUGAGGUCUGCAGCGUAGAUCCUUCGGGGUUAGAUACAUUUGUGCUAAGCUACAGCUUUUCAUAGACAACUUGUUGACUAUGUUUAGUCUUGUAACUUACCCGCUUAUGCUAUUUUACCUACGCUUAGGAUGUUGAUAUGCAUGACUGAUAU